CUUUUUGUUUUCCCUUUUAAAAAAUCAGCUACAGUAUUAAAAGGGAAAUGUGUUUCUCACAGUGCUAGGUCCCUUCUCAUGGGAUCGAAUAGCAGAGUCCUGGCUACGGGUUCAAAUGCCCUGCUGAAAUCCUCAGACAAUUCCAACAUCCACAAAGCUACGAAAGGAAGUGAGCUGCAUCUUCAUUUCACUAUCUAUUAUUAAACACACCACCAUGGCACCGCUGGUGAUUGGGAAGUGCCCUAGAUACUGGGAGCAGUGAAUGAGAAUGUGAAUCCAUCCUGAGGCUUGGAGUAUGAAUUAGUGUAAACGCCCUUUUGAACAAGGUACUUGACUUUGUUUUGCAGAAACAUAGCUUUUGUUGCCUUUUAAAUAUCCUUUAAUUCUCUCAGGGUGUGAAAUCCUCUAUUAAUUUGACCAGUUUCUGUUACUCAAAUCCCCUGUAUCCAGGUAGGAUAUAUACCUCAAACACUGCUGGAUAAUUUCCAAAAUGUGGUUGAAUGUAUAUCAAAAUUUUCCAUUCUUGAAGAUUGCUUAGAGGAAUCGAAACAUACAUUUUAACAGAUAAAAGGAGUGAUUAUGAAUUAUUUAAAUUGACAGUUUCAACAACAUUUAACUUAUUUAUUCAAUAUAGUAUUAUAGUUCUAUAGUACUAUAUAUGGUACAUAUAUCAUUUAGUUUGUUUUAUAAUAGCAGCACAUGGUCACUUAGGAUAAAUUGGAAGAGAAAGAAAUGAAAGUUAUUUUGAUGUAGUUUCACACUCAGCAAUAAAAACUGUUUGUAUUUAAACAUAUUUUCCCAAUCUUGGUAUGUUUUUAUAACUUGCUUCCUCACAUAUUUGUAGUGUUUCUCCCAUGUUACUAAAUAUUUUUAAACAUGUGCUUUUGUGACUGAAUGACUUUCCAUUAAAC
rnacentral:lncRNA from 1 species